UACGUAGGUGGCAAGCGUUGUCCGGAUUUACUGGGCGUAAAGAGCGCGCAGGCGGUCGGAUAAGUCGAAUGUGAAAGCCCCCGGCUCAACUGGGGAGGGUCAUUCGAUACUGUUCGACUCGAAGGCAGGAGAGGGAAGUGGAAUUCCUGGUGUAGCGGUGAAAUGCGCAGAUAUCAGGAGGAACACCGAUGGCGAAGGCAGGUCUCUGGGCCACUACUGACGCUGAGAAGCGAAAGCAUGGGGAGCGAACAGG
rnacentral:rRNA from 1 species